rnacentral:rRNA from 1 species
UAGUCCACGCCGUAAACGAUGUCAACUAGCCGUUGGGAGCAUAUAAGCUCUGAGUGGCGCAGCUAACGCGAUAAGUUGACCGCCUGGGGAGUACGCCGGCAACGGUAAAACUCAAAGGAAUUGACGGGGGGCCCGCACAAGCGGUGGAGCAUGUGGUUUAAUUCGAUGCAACGCGCAGAACCUUACCUACCCUUGACAUGCCUGGCUAUCCAGAGAGAUUUGGAGUUCCUUCGGGACCAGUGCACAGGUGCUGUAUGGUUGUCGUCAGCUCGUGCCGUGAGGUGUUGGGUUAAGUCCCGCAACGAGCGCAACCCCUAUCUUUAGUUGCCAACACGUAAUGGUGGGGACUCUAGAGAGACUGCCGGGCGUAAGCCGCGAGGAGGGUGGGGAUGACGUCAAAUCAUCAUGGGCCUUUAUGCCCAGGGGCGACACACGUGCUACAAUGGACGGUACAGAGGGGUCGCGAAGCCGCGAGGGUGGGAGCCAAUCUCAGAAAGCC